rnacentral:misc_RNA from 1 species
UCCUGGUUAACCCAGGCAGUCUCAUUAGAGUUCCCACCAUCACGUGUUGGCAACUAAUGAUAAGGGUUGCGCUCGUUGCGGGACUUAACCCAACACCUCACGGCACGAGCUGACGACAGCCAUGCAGCACCUGUGCAAAGACCCUUGCGGGAAGCACAAUCUCUUGUGCGGUCCUUUGCAUGUCAAGCCUGGGUAAGGUUCUUCGCGUUGCAUCGAAUUAAACCACAUGCUCCACUGCUUGUGCGGGUCCCCGUCAAUUCUUUUGAGUUUCAGCCUUGCGACUGUACUCCCCAGGCGGUAUACUUAACGCGUUAGCUUCGGCACAGUUAGGGUUGAGUCCAACUACACCAAGUAUACAUCGUUUACAGCAAGGACUAC